AUUGGUUUCUAUUAGAGAAAAGGAUGGAGAAAGGACCAUAUGAUGUAACAUCUAUUGAUAUGUUGUGGAGGCUGGAAGUCCAAGGUCAAAGUGUUGGCAGGAUUCGUAUCAGAAUGCUGAGAAAGUGACAAAGUGACGUCUAUGACUUCUAACAAGGCCUCAAGAAGCCUUUGCAGCUUCAGCUCUUGCCUUCUUUGGAAUCUCAACAAUAUGAGAAGAAGCCUGAGCUCACCUGCGGAGAAGCCAUGUGGACAACCAAGGCACCCUGAUUAUUAAGCGCAGCUAACCGCCCACUGAUUGCAAUUGCAAGUAAGCCUAGCUGACGCCACGUGGUGCAGAGACAAGUUGUCUAGAGAGCACCUUGAACCAAUUGCUGACCCAAGAAUUGUUUUCUAAUAAAUGGU